rnacentral:rRNA from 1 species
CGGUAACGCGAGGAGCUUGCUCCUUGGCGACGAGUGGCGGACGGGUGAGUAAUGCUUGGGAAUCUACCCAGUAGUGGGGGACAACAUUCAGAAACGGAUGCUAAUACCGCAUACGCACUACGGUGGAAAGCGGGGGACCGCAAGGCCUCGCACUAUUGGAGUGGCCGAUGUCGGAUUAGCUAGUUGGUGGGGUAAAAGCCUACCAAGGCGACGAUCCGUAGCUGGUCUGAGAGGACGAUCAGCCACACUGGAACUGAGACACGGUCCAGACUCCUACGGGAGGCAGCAGUGGGGAAUUUUGGACAAUGGGCGCAAGCCUGAUCCAGCCAUGCCGCGUGAGUGAAGAAGGCCUUCGGGUUGUAAAGCUCUUUCGGUGGAGACGAAACGGUUCGUGUUAAUAACACGGACUACUGACGGUACCCACAGAAGAAGCACCGGCUAACUCUGUGCCAGCAGCCGCGGUAAUACAGAGGGUGCAAGCGUUAAUCGGAAUUACUGGGCGUAAAGCGCUCGUAGGCGGUUUGUUAAGUCGGAUGUGAAAGCCCCGGGCUCAACCUGGGAACUGCAUUCGAUACUGACAGACUAGAGUAUAGUAGAGGCAAGUGGAAUUCCGGGUGUAGCGGUGAAAUGCGUAGAUAUCCGGAGGAACAUCAGUGGCGAAGGCGACUUGCUGGACUAAUACUGACGCUGAGGAGCGAAAGCGUGGGGAGCAAACGGGAUUAGAUACCCCGGUAGUCCACGCCGUAAACGAUGUCAACUAGCCGUUGGGGGUCUUAGUACCUUUAGUGGCGCAGCUAACGC